rnacentral:rRNA from 1 species
AUCGAACGCUGGCGGAAUGCUUUACACAUGCAAGUCGAACGGCAGCACGGACUUCGGUCUGGUGGCGAGUGGCGAACGGGUGAGUAAUACAUCGGAACGUGCCCAGUCGUGGGGGAUAACGUAGCGAAAGCUACGCUAAUACCGCAUACGAUCUAAGGAUGAAAGCGGGGGAUCGCAAGACCUCGCGCGAUUGGAGCGGCCGAUGGCAGAUUAGGUAGUUGGUGGGGUACAGGCUCACCAAGCCGACGAUCUGUAGCUGGUCUGAGAGGACGACCAGCCACACUGGGACUGAGACACGGCCCAGACUCCUACGGGAGGCAGCAGUGGGGAAUUUUGGACAAUGGGCGCAAGCCUGAUCCUGCCAUUCCGCGUGCAGGAUGAAGGCCCUCGGGUUGUAAUCUGCUUUUGUACGGAACGAAAAGGCUCUGGUUAAUACCUGGGGCUCAUGACGGUACCGUAAGAAUAAGCACCGGCUAACUACGUGCCAGCCGCCGCCGUAA